rnacentral:rRNA from 1 species
UGGGGAAUUUUGGACAAUGGGCGAAAGCCUGAUCCAGCAAUGCCGCGUGUGUGAAGAAGGCCUUCGGGUUGUAAAGCACUUUUGUCCGGAAAGAAAUCCUUGGCUCUAAUACAGUCGGGGGAUGACGGUACCGGAAGAAUAAGCACCGGCUAACUACGUGCCAGCAGCCGCGGUAAUACGUAGGGUGCAAGCGUUAAUCGGAAUUACUGGGCGUAAAGCGUGCGCAGGCGGUUUGCUAAGACCGAUGUGAAAUCCCCGGGCUCAACCUGGGAAACUGCAUUGGUGACUGGCAGGCUAGAGUAUGGCAGAGGGGGGUAGAAUUCCACGUGUAGCAGUGAAAUGCGUAGAGAUGUGGAGGAAUACCGAUGGCGAAGGCAGCCCCCUGGGCCAAAUACUGACGCUCAUGCACGAAAGCGUGGGGGAGCAAACAGGAUUAGAUACCCUGGUAGUCCACGCCCUAAACGAUGUCAACUAGUUGUUGGGAUUCAUUUCCUUAGUAACGUAGCUAACGCGUGAAAGUUUG